AAGCAGAAAAAUCAGUUGAAAUAAGUGACAGAGCAGCAGCAGAGCAGUCCAGAGGAACACACAGGGGUGAUGGUGGACUUGACAUUGAGCUGAUCUCAGAGCAGUUCAGACUGCAGCACUGACAGUCAUCUCCACUUGUUGUGAUUCCUCCGUCAGUCUCUGCUGGAUGAAGCUCUCCUCUCCACUCCACCUCCCAGUAACAUGGCCCAGUCAGAGCUGAUGCUGCUGCUUCAACCUCUCUGGAUCAUCAGGACUCAGCUGAUCCUCACUCGACAUGACCACCUCCCUCUAUGACAGAGAUCACUUCCAGAUUUAUUCACACAGACAUACAUCAGGAAAACGUGUAGCGUGUAAAGCAUGUAUGGGUGUGUGUGACUAAUUGCACAAAAAGUACGCAACAAAGAAACACAUGCUGUUUGUGGCAGCAUGUUUGUGGCCUGGGUGCAGGUCAUUUAGCUGAUGACUGGCCUGCAAAACCACCACAAGGAGAGCAACAGGGACACCUAGUGGACAGGUGGAGGAGGAGGAGGAAACUCAGCUGGAGCAGUUUCACCAAAAUUAGUGAAAAAGUUGGUGGACGCUUCCCCACCAAGAGGGUUGGACCGUGCUGCGUUAAUCUCAGCACUGGUAUUAUCAGCAAUGAUGUGACUGGGGACACAUAUCAUAAAUCACCUCACGAGUAUUCCUGUGUUGAUGCUAUAAUUUUUACCACCCGACGCGGAGAUGCCUGCGUUGAUCCCAAUUUGGAAUGGGUGAAGGAACUCACUGCCAACAUGACGAAGGUGUGAAACAUCGCUGCCUCUCUGAGCAAACUGCUGCUGCUGUUUGAAAACCCCCGACAUACACUCACACGUAACAUGUACACACAUAUAUUCUGCUGAAAUAAUCCCUCUGAGUGCACAUACUUGCUACUGAGCCCUAACAUAUAUAUACUGCAUGCUUAAAGUGUA